rnacentral:snRNA from 1 species
AUCACUUCUCAGCCUUUUGGCUAAGAUCAAGUGCAGUAUUUGUUUUUAUCAGUUUAAAGCAUAUGACUGGAAAAUCUCCAACAUCAGAAAUUAGGGGCUAAUGAUACAUAUGCUAGAAAAUGGAUACAAAUUAAAUCCAAAGCUAAAUGAUUCUUU